GGUUUCCGUAGGUGAACCUCNNGCAGGNUCANUACCUAGAGUUUGUGGNNNUUGCCUGCUAUCUCUUACCCAUGUCUUUUGAGUACUUACGUUUCCUCGGUGGGUUCGCCCGCCGAUUGGACAAUUUAAACCCUUUGCAGUUGCAAUCAGCGUCUGAAAAACAUAAUAGUUACAACUUUCAACAACGGAUCUCUUGGUUCUGGCAUCGAUGAAGAACGCAGCGAAAUGCGAUAAGUAGUGUGAAUUGCAGAAUUCAGUGAAUCAUCGAAUCUUUGAACGCACAUUGCGCCCCUUGGUAUUCCAUGGGGCAUGCCUGUUCGAGCGUCAUUUGUACCUUCAAGCAUUGCUUGGUGUUGGGUGUUUGUCUCGCCUUUGCGUGUAGACUCCCCCUUAAAACAAUUGGCAGCCNGCGCUAUUGAUUUCGGAGCGCANUACAUCUCGCGCUUUGCACUCAUAACGACCGACGUCCAAAAGUACAUUUUAACACUCUNGACCUCGGAUCAGGUAGGGAUACNCNCCUGAACUUAANCAUAUCAUNAAGNGGAGGA
rnacentral:misc_RNA from 1 species